rnacentral:piRNA from 1 species
UCUUGAUGUGUGGCAGUGUGUCCCGAGAU